GGCAGCGCCCGCCGGACGCUGGACACAGACGUGACCCCAGACCGCCUGGCCUUGGGUGGAUCGGGUCUCUGGGCAGAGCGUGUGUCCGGCAGAGCUAGGACCGGAAAAAGCCACUCUAGGUCUAGGUUAGGAGUGAUGACAGUUAAAAGAUAUAUAAGGAAAAGAAGGAAAGGAUCGUUUCUGUAUAAAACGAGCUAUUUUUGCAUAUCGAGCGCAUAAGUUUUAUAACUUAGGUGUCUGUUUAUGGAGAGGGUGGGAUACUACCUUUUAGCUCAAGGAGUGCACAAAACGGUAUCAUGAAUUCUGCUCUUUUGAUUCAAACACCCAACUUUGAAGAAUCGCUCAUGGUGCUUGUAAAACACGUAUCCCCAGAUCCCUCCCUAGACCUAUCGAACAACUCCAACGGUCUCGGGAAUGUGCGUGGUUUCUGAAAAGCUUGGGAAGCAAGACCUGACUAGACCCCCAAAUCUGAUAUUGGCUGAAUGGCCGACCAAUGGAGUGCAUAAGAAGGAAAACAUAAUACACUGACACAGAGACAACUACAGGGGAGAAGCAUGAAUGUGAGGCAGAGACUGGAGUGGUAUAUCUACAAGUGAAGGAAUGCCAAGGAUUGCUGGCAACCACCACAAGCUAGAGAGAGGCAAGGAGGGAUCUUCUACAGCCUUCAGAGAGAACACGACCCUGCUGACAACUUGAUUUUGGACUUCCAGCCUCUAGAAUUUUGAAUGACUUAAGUUUCUGCUGUUCUAAGCCACCUUGUUUGUGGUACUUUGUUAUGGCAGUUCUAAGAAGUUAAUAUGGGCAUUGAGUAAAUGAAGGGUAUUUUGGGCAUAUAAUUCCAAUAGAGUGCUAACAUAUUGCAGUAAUAUACUGGUUCAAUAACUGAAAAAUUGUUGUAGUGCCUGUAGACUAAUUUUUGUAAAGUCUUAUUUCAAAAAUGCCAUUUUGUUAUAAAGCACAGCGGGAUACUAGCUCUGCAAAAAUUAACACAAUAAAUUGGUAUCACAUAAUCUUAACCUCACGACUUUAUUGCAUUUUCUUCUUUAAAUAGCACAAAGAAGAUUCAGGAUGUUAUACAUUCAGUCCUCACUUAACAUCACUGAUAGGUUCUUGGAAACUGCCACUUUAAGUGAAAUGGUGUAUAACAAAACUAUUUUUUUCUCAUUAACAUUGUAACGCUGAACGAAAUGAGGGCCUACUGUAUGUCAUUUCGCUUAAAAGUGCAAUUUCCUCUUUUUAAAAAAUUUUUUGCUGUUCAAGAGUUUGAUAACAUAUAGGCCGGGCUCACACCUGUAAUCCCAACACUUUGGGGGGCCGAGGCAGUUGGAUCAUUUGAGGUCAGGAGUUCAAGACCAG
rnacentral:lncRNA from 1 species